rnacentral:lncRNA from 1 species
CCUCAAUGUAACAUUUAGAAACUCUUCCUCUUUGAAGUUUUAGAGGCUUAGAACUCUGAUUUCAUCAUGAAAAAGUACUUAUUUGGGGUCAUUUCAUCCAACAAUGAACAUGCAGCGUUGGACACUGUGCUUGGUGACAUAAAGAGAACCAGAUGGUUGUCAUUGGCUGUACAGGCUUGGCCAGGACUGACCCGAACAGAGACUGAGGUCAAGAAAAGAGAGAACUGGUGACGGUGUUUGACUGUGUGAAGCCACAUCACAGUCCUGUCCGCAUGGACCAGUCUGAGUCUGCUGGCGUGGAUGGCAGGAUAUUCUCUCCAGUUACAGGGUUUAACUACAGAGCUACCCCACGCCUGAGGCCAGGGGCGGCGGCCGGGAGGAGCAACCCCACGUCCAAGGAGCGGUGGCUGUGCGGGCGCAGGAGGGCCGAGAAGAACUACUCCACGUCAAAGUCAGGAGGGGCGGUGGUGAGGAGAUACUCCUCGUCCAAGGUAAGGAGAAGCGGCUGGGCUUUGGU